AGUGAACGCUGGCGGUAGGCCUAACACAUGCAAGUCGAACGGCAGCACAGGAGAGCUUGCUCUCUGGGUGGCGAGUGGCGGACGGGUGAGGAAUACAUCGGAAUCUACUCUGUCGUGGGGGAUAACGUAGGGAAACUUACGCUAAUACCGCAUACGACCUACGGGUGAAAGCAGGGGACCUUCGGGCCUUGCGCGAUUGAAUGAGCCGAUGUCGGAUUAGCUAGUUGGCGGGGUAAAGGCCCACCAAGGCGACGAUCCGUAGCUGGUCUGGGAGGAUGAGCAGCCACGCUGGAACUGAGACACGGUCCAGACUCCUACGGGGGGCAGCGGUGGGGAAUAUUGGACAAUGGGCGCAAACCUGAUCCAGCCAUACCGCGUGGGUGAAGGAGGCCUUCGGGUUGUAAAGCCCUUUUGUUGGGAAAGAAAUCCAGCUGGCUAAUACCCGGUUGGGAUGACGGUACCCAAAGAAUAAGCACCGGCUAACUUCGUGCCAGCAGCCGCCGCCG
rnacentral:rRNA from 1 species